UUUUAAUAAAAAGCCAUUUCUUUUUCUAAAUUUUAAUAAAUAACCUUCUUAUUUCUAAUUUUGAAAUAAUGACCCCCUUUUUUUUUGUGUGCUGGUGGUGUUGCCACAGGUUUGUGUAUGCGUCUAGUGUGGUUGGGAGUCAAAGACUCUUACACUGCCGCUGGAUAGCUUAUAUUCAUAGGUGAAAAGAAAGCUGAGUGCGUAAGUCUUUCCUUCCAGUACAUAGCCUCUACACAAACAAGACUUCUACAGUGCCUCCCCGUGACAGCACAUGGUAACUAGGAUCUAGUGUCCUAGGCUUGACUGUAGAGGAUCUCGGAGUAGCAAGGACCCUAGAGAUGAAGUGUGUAGGCCGAUCGACAUGCGGACAUUACUAGCACUCAUCAACCUUGCCCCAGUUAUGGGUUAAAUAGCUGACUGAAUGAUGGUCGUCAGCCGUGAAAGAAGGAGAAGAAAACUCUUGAUAUAAAAUUUUUGGUAAUGUGUAUUUGACUCAUCAGCAAUUGAUCUAAAGGAAAUAAAGCUUGAGUAAAGAUUCUCUGGUUCUCCAGGUUUGGGAUUGAGAGUUAUGCCAAGAUCCUGUCCAUGUAAAGAAUGAUUAUAUACUGAUUAAUCUCCCAGAUGAGGAACAUCACUACCAGAUCUGCAUCUUUGACAUUCGAAAGACAAGUUAUUCAGCAUAUUUUGAAAAGAGAGUAGGACCUGAAUGUAAAAUAAUACCAACUUUAAGACCAAGCGUGCUAGUUAAUUUAGAAAUCAACUGAAGCAGAAGAAUUAAUUGUGUUGAUCUGAGGAACUUCGAAACACUUAUUGACCAAAAACAAUAUGUAGUAAAGUAAUACAAUUAUGUUAUAAGAGAGAGAGAUAGAAAGAGGGGGAGAGCCAGUUGUAAAGAUUUAUUCUUUUAAACAAGAUACGUUGAUUACAAACGAAUUUCAUAGGCCUACAGUUCCCCCCUAAAUGGUCUUAGUUAAUACAUGUACAUGUAUACUAGGUGUUUAAUGUAGGACUUUGAUGUAACUUGUAAGAACAAUCAGCUGCCAUUGGUUUAACUCUAUUUUUAUGCCCUUCAGUUGGGGGGGGG